rnacentral:rRNA from 1 species
AACGAACGCUGGCGGCGUGCCUAACACAUGCAAGUCGAACGGGACCUUCGGGGCUUGUUGCGCAAGGGGGCGUACCGCGUGGGGAGCUGCCCGUGGGUGCGGUAUCACUCCCCGAAGGGGGUGCUAGUACCGGAUAAUGUCUUCCCGGCAAAGAUUGCUCGCCGUUGGGUGGGGCCGCGUUGGUUUAGUUAGUUGGGAGGGUAAAGGCCUACCAAGGCGACUUUCCAUAGCUGGUCGGAGAGGAUGAUCAGCCACACUGGGACUGAGACACGGCCCAGACUCGUAGGGGAGGCAGCAGUGGGGAAUAUUGGACAAAGGGCGAAAGCCUGAUACAGCAAUGCCGCGUGAGUGAUGAAGGCCUUAGGGUCGUAAAGCUCUUUUACCCGGGAUGAUAAUGACAGUACCGGGAGAAUAAGCGCCGGCUAACUACGUG